UUUCCUUCAUGAUAAAGUUGCAAGCCAACAAGUGACUACACAGCUUAUCAUAAUAAAGUUGCAAGCCAACACAUAAUUACCCAAAAGAUUAACCCAUCAUUUUUAUUUCCUUUACGAACCCUACCUUAGGCCUUUUCUUUUAUUUUUAGGAAACAUUAUAAACAUUUUCUAAUCUCAAAACCUAACUCCUAUGGGUUAACAACAAUUUGUGAAUAAGAAAAUAUUAUUCAAUAUUUUAUGCAGUUAAUAAAGGUUAAGUAUUUAUUUAAAUACCAUAAUGAAAAGGUAUUAAACAAAUACCUAAGUUUUAUUAUUUUUCCUAUGGUAUAAUAAUUUUAAUGCAUAAAGGAAAAUAAAACAAUCCUAACAAAAUUAGUUUCACUAAUUUUGGACACUCCUAGAAAUUCUUGUCAUUUAAAUGGUGAAAAUCAAAUUUACACUAAUUAUCUAAUAAAAAGAAAACCUAAGAUUUAUCCUAAAACCCCGGCCCAACUUUUCUCACUCGCCUCCUCUCUACCCUCUCUCACUCGCGCUGGGCCCGCAGCACUGGUCCACCUACUCCCCCUCUCUACCUUACUCACCAGCCCACCUCUCUCACUGCCGGGCCUGCUGGGCCGACUCUACUUCCCCCCUUCCUAUUCUUCUUGUCGGCCCACCGGCCCACCUUACUCCCUUUCCUCCGCCCUGGCGCCUUGGCCUGCUGGACCGGCCCACGUCCUUCUCCUUCACCCGCCGGCCGUCCUACCCUUUCCCCCUCUCCUUCUGACACGUGGGCCCCCGGCGCCAGCUCCUUCUCCUUCCUCACGCAAAAACAUGGCGCAGCAGGGGGCGGCGCGGCUCGAUGGCCAGUGCCCCACCGGCGACGAUGCCGGGUUGGGGAGGCAUCCCCAAGCCACAGCGCACCCGUGGGCGGCGGCGGCUCCCCGGGAGACGGCCGGAGCUAGCCUCUCCACGGCGGCAGGCGGCUUGACUGGCGGCCGGCCGUGGCCAAGCACGGCAACGGCACCACUCGGCCCUUUAACUACCCCUACGGCUUCCUUGUGACCUAUGGACUUACCCAUGGCUUACCACGACAAGGGAAAGUGGCGGCAAGGAAGAGCUCACCGUGAGCAAGGAGCUUGGUGGCGGCGGACGGAAACAGC
rnacentral:lncRNA from 1 species